AGAGUUUGAUCCUGGCUCAGAUUGAACGCUGGCGGCAUGCUUUACACAUGCAAGUCGAACGGUAACAGGUCUUCGGAUGCUGACGAGUGGCGAACGGGUGAGUAAUGCAUCGGAACGUGCCCAGUCGUGGGGGAUAACGCAGCGAAAGCUGUGCUAAUACCGCAUACGAUCUAUGGAUGAAAGCGGGGGAUCGCAAGACCUCGCGCGAUUGGAGCGGCCGAUGUCAGAUUAGCUAGUUGGUGGGGUAAAGGCCCACCAAGGCGACGAUCUGUAGCUGGUCUGAGAGGACGACCAGCCACACUGGGACUGAGACACGGCCCAGACUCCUACG
rnacentral:rRNA from 1 species